CUCUAGAUGUGAUUGGGCCAAAUGUCUCAGCCAUCACAUCAAUUUAUAUAAAAUCUAAUUUACAUUACAUAUUACAUAUAAAAUCUAUCAAAUCCAGCGACUUUGAUGAAUCCCUUAUUUGUUGAGUGAUGGAACCAAAUGACAAUUAGCGUUUCGAAGUUGCCAAGCGUAACGUCAACCUUUUGUUGCUCCCAUACCAACCCCAUAGAAAAACGAGGAUCUGAAUCAACGGUGUGUGGUAUGUUUUCAACUUUUUGCUUAUUCUUGUUCGAACACAAAUUUGUAUUGCAAGUUGGUGAUCCAUUGUCUGUUUGAAUCUGGAACUGUCCCUUCAACAACAACAACAAUGGUUUACAAUUUUCUUUGUGGAUUGUUGUAGUCACCUACGGUUAGGGUUUUUAUAUGGAAUACGGAGCCCUAAUCAUGGCAAAAUGACGAUCUUAAUAUCGAUAUAUUGAAUGAAACAAAUGUAAAUCUGCUUCAUUAAUGUUUGGGAUGGUUUUUGGGAUUUCUUUGGGGGAGGAUUCGUGUCAAAUCAACGUUCACAAAAUAUGAAAGGGUUUAGGAUUUCGACUAUUGUCAAACGUAUAUUAAGGGCGUGUUUGGUGGAGGAAAUUAAGU
rnacentral:lncRNA from 1 species